GAGGAAUCCCAGCCUGCACAGGAGUCCCCGCCUCCAGGACCAGCUGAGCUGGGGCAGGGGCUUGAACCUGAAGGGCCCUCACCUGUGCCGGAUCCUCAGGAGCAGACACCAGCUGAAUCUGCUCUGGCUCCGGAGGUGAUCGAGGACCCAUUGCCUGCAGGUGCUCCACUCUCAGCCCCGUCAGGGGAAGGUGAGGUUGCCUCUGGGUCCAGUAACCCUCCAUCCUCUCCUGAGCUGCAGAGGCUCAGGGCAGAGAGGCGGAGGGAACUAAGUUCCCGCAGGAGGAGUGCUCACCUCCAGGCCAGGAGAGGCGAGUCACCUGUGGGCCGGGACCGCCCUAGGCCUCGGGGCAGAUAAAAGCCAGCCCAGUCCCAGGUUGCGGGAGCAACAUUGUUGGUAACAUGUUCCUGCUGGCACCUUGCCCUGCUCUUCUGCCAGAGUUCCUGACCACACCCGACUCCUUGCCCUGGACCCUGCUUCAGCCUUGAUGGACAGCCUCCCUACCACACCCUCUACCUCGGACUGGACUUGGACCAUGCCGCACGGUAACCCCCGGGACCGCACAGCUGCCAUGCAUGAUAGUGGUGUCCCAAAACUGCAAAAUAAAAAUCAAAAUCCUGAGAGCAGAUUCUGGCUCCUGUCAACACGGGGGGAUAAUAGUUUUCAGCAUCUUCAAUCCAGAGGCAAUCUCUGUAGUCAUUGAAUUGUCCACGCCUUGACUGCAGUUAAAUUGUAGAUAGCAAAGGUGUGGAAAUGUAUCAACAUAGGAACAUGGUUUUGAACAAGUAUGGAAGGUUCUUGUUGUGGAUAAAGCAGGGAUGGGGAACUUGGUACCCUUCAGAGGCUCUUUGACUCCAUUUCCCAUCAGUCCCAGCCAGCAUGGCCAAUGGAGCCCAAAAUGUCUGGUGGGCAACAGGUUCCCUGUGCCUGGGAUUGCAUUUCUUCUCAGUUCAAGGCCAGUGCUGACCAAUGCUAUAAAGUCUUGUUGAUGGGUAAAUUGUUUCCUUUUAUAAAGUAUUUCAGACUUCUCUAAAACAUUUUGUAGCAGUGGGAGGUGACAAUAAGAUUGAACCGUUUUAAUGACUAGACAAACUAGAUAAAUUUAUACUUGUGGGGUCUGAAAGGGUUUGCUGCACUAGAAUGAUUUUUCUGUGUGCUCCCUCAGACAUUACAUCCCGACCCCUCUUGUAGAAUUAUAUUCACCAUCUUUUAUUUCUAUUUCUUUGAGUCUGCCCUUUGACACUGGUAUUUAUUCCUUUAUUCUUUCUUUUUGUGCUGAAUUUACUUGAGCAUAUCCUGUAAAGCUGCAGAGCUGAGGGAAUGGGUGAAGUAAGUGUUAAGUUGUGGGUGAACAUAUCAGACGACACAGUGAUUCUGCAAACAGCUCUUGUUUAUUCACAGGCCAGAACAGAACUAAGCUGAAGGGUUCAGCCAACCUGCUUAUAUAGAGCUCAACUACAAGGCAACAGUAACAACUUUCUGUAACUAUCCAAUCACUGAAUGUAACUUUCAAUUCCUUAUUUGCAUAUGUGGACCUGAGUGAAAACUAUCUACAGUAUCCCCCUGUUGGCCCAGGGUGAGAACUUCAGUACAUAACAGUAAGUCUCUAUCCCAUUUACACACACACACACACACACACACACACACACACAGCGUGUAAGGAGUAUUUCACAUAGUUUCUCACUAAGAAAUAGCUUUGCUCUCAUUUUCCAGUAUUGUGGUCUAUGGGUUGGAACCAGACUAAUAGUGCAAUCCUGCCCAUGUCUAGUCCUGUUGAAUUUAGAGUUGCUUACUCUCAGUUAAGGAAUGCAGCUUUAGAGAAGAUGCACUGAAAUAACUUAAGACCCAUUGAUUUCAAUGGAUCUACCUUAAGAAUGACUAAGUCUGGAUCCAGCUCAAUGAGUGUGAAGGCACUGGGGUAACUGACAAGUGUGAGACCCUCAUUCUUAAAUAUUUAAAUGUUUGCAUUAAGAUUUAAUAGAAUUGUUGUUAUCUUUAUUUACUAAAUCCAUAUCCCCACACCAUCAACAUGUCAGUAUUCCCAGGGCGGCUUAACACAGAGAAUACAAAUGCAUUGCAAUAGAAUUGAAGAAAAACAAAACAUGUGGAACACUGACAAAAUCUACAGCUGCUAGUACCUGUACAUACUAGACUAUCCAUAUUUAUGUUCUGGCUGUUCUCCAAUGAAUGUCAAUGUGGUCCCUAAUCUUGAUGAAGGAGCGAUGAAGCAACUGAGCCCCGUGGCUAUAGUGUACAUUUCAGAGCCCAGGCUACAUAAACAGAAGGAUCUGCUACAGCUCUUUCCACAUCAGACUAAGGGAAUGCAUGUUUAAUAUUGCCCCAUUUUAAAAAAAAAAAUCCUGCUUUUAACCAAUUGGAAUAUCCGGGUGUGGGGUUUUAGACCAACCAUGGGUGCUUUGGGACAGUUCCUGUUUUCAAUCACACCACGUUGCACAAUUAGAGUUGCUUGGGAGGUCCUGUGCAACAACCUACUUCCUCCAAAUACUGGAGUUUUUGCAAUAAGGACAGUGAUGGGAAAAUGCACUGGGAUGUGUGGAUCAACACUUUUGUUGUUUAGUCCUUUAGUAGUGUCUGAGUCUUCAUGACCCCAUCAUGGCUCCUUCAUGGAUCACUCCUUCAUGGAUCACUGCCUUGUCGUGGUGAAGGGGCUUGAGUAACUCAGAGAAGCUAUGAGCUAUGCCAUGCAGGGCCACCCAAGAUGGACAGGUCAUAGUGGAGGGUUUUGACUAAACAUGAUCCACCUGGAGCAGGAACCGGCAAGCCACUCCAGUAUCCCUGCCAAGAAAACUCCAUGGACAAAAGCAACAGGAUCAACACUUGCUUUGGUGCAAUUCAGAGUAGUGAAAAAUCCAAAGAAUAGCUACAUUUUGAUCAGCCGGUUAGUUAAGUUCUUUUAUUUUUAUUUAACAAAUUUAUAAACUGCAUCAUAAUAUGAAGCCCCCAGGGUUGUAUGAGAUAAAAAUAGAAUAUUGAAACUGAUAAGUUGUGAAUUUGUUGUGUAUCCCUGCCAGGAACUGACUGCCAUGGGAAAAUAGUGUCUGUAUGAGAAAGUGACACUUGCACACAGAACUGACACAGCUCCACACACCUUUCCAGACAUUCUGGUGGUGCCAUGCAUUCAUGACACAGCUGCCGCCUGAUCUUGGCAAUAAGCCACCAUGGAUUUGUUUUGCUACAAUGAGAUCUCAUUAUUGCACUCACUUAUUUCUCCAGAACUAUUGAUUUGGCAAUAUUUACCGGAGCUUUGCCUCUUUCCAUCAGUACAUAGAAGAUAAUCAAUAUCCAGUUUAUGUGAUGCUGUUUAACUUUCAGUUUCUGGUGGGGGAGAAGGUUCCUAAUUUACAGCAACAAAGUCCACCAUGCUUGCUGACUAUAAAGAGAUUGGCUGUGUGUCUCUGAUAUAUUAAUUGUGGCUCAUUUAUGUGUCCAUGAAUGAGCCCCAGACUUUCCAAAGUCCCACGGUUUGAAUAAUAAAGAGAAAGGCAAGUUGACAUCACUGGUGGACGGCGCCCAUGAAUACUGAGGAGAAAGGGUGGGAUAUAAAUUCAAUAAAUAAAUACUGGUAGGGCACAAAGCAAGGAGGCCAACAGAAGGUGGAGCCAGAGAGCCAAGCAGCAGAGCCACCUCCUGGUAAGAAGGCAGGUAAGUGAUUGGGGACAAACUGAGGUUGAUGGGGUAGUGUGUCAUUCACCCUGAUAGACCAACCAACCUCCUCUGGUUCACACAUUUGUAUUACAGAAGUCUGUGUCUAAAUAAAGCAACAGGAAAUAGCCCUGUCUCCUAGCAGGACAACUUGGAAAGACCCUAGCUUAGGCAAGCAAGGACUUUCUGAAAGAAAAAAAACAUACAUUACUUGGAAAACACAAUGAAGAAAUCAAUCUUUAUUGAGUUCACCUAAAUGCACUUAAUGCAACAAUUAAGAUGCUCUGUCCACGGUUGUCUUUACUUAGAUACAUUAAAUGACUUCACACCAUUUGUCACUCCCUUGAAGCUGCUUUGAUUGCAAGCAUUGCUCAGGUCAGGCACUCCUGAUUCGUUUGCAUCAAAUGGUGUUUGCUAAUCCUUGCAGAUGUAUUUGCUUCUUGCCAUUCAAGGCAAGACAGGCUCGGCUGGAAAGACCUGCGUUUUGAUGGGCGUCUUGUUUGGCCUUGUUGGCUGCUUCCUAUCCUACAUAGCAUCUGUGUAGGGAGCUGCUCUGAAGAUAAUCUUAUCACAAUUGCUCUCGUCUGAAAAUGUUCCAGCUCUUAAACUAUGACAGAUGGGAAGCAGUGGAAAAGCAAGCUAUUGAGCAAAGCAGUUAAUAGUGGUAACAUUUGUCUUGCAAGUGGGAUGUGCAAAGACCCUGCUGGGUCAUUAGGAUUCGGAUGAAACUGAAUAAAUCUCUGAUCAGCUGCAGAGCACUUGAUUAUUCUGUCUCAAACCCUUGCAAAGGUCUGUAGAAUUCUCUAUGUGGGAGGUAUAUUCCAUGCACACCGAGUUUUUGCAUGCUGUUUUGUCAACUUCGCCCACUGCAGCUCUUCCAAACAUCUACAUUCCCCAAGACACUGUGAAGUGUUUUGAGCACUAAACAAGCACAGUAUAAAUAUUGCUGCUUGCUACUGGCCGAAACUUAAUCUGAGACAGGGGAAGUGAGAAACAGGAGUGAGAAACAGAGGAUUGUAUUCAGUGCUGAACAGACAGACUUCCGCUCAGAUAAUGGUAUUUUGCUGCCGCCGCCUCCUCUCUUCUUGCACACCUGCAAAAUUUGGUCCAGAGCAUCUCCCAGCAGUUUUGAGGGUUUGUGGAGAACUGUGAGGGAUAAGUUCUGGUUCGAGAUGAAUAAAUCUGUCACUUUUGGUUCUCCAAGUUUUGGGGUUUUUUCCAUAUUUAAGUUAAAUUCUCCACAUUUCCUUAAAAACCUUUAUUUUAAAAAAGAAAUCCUCGUGAAAAUUCACCAGCUUUUUUCAGUGAUUUUUUCCCCUAAUGCACGCAUUUUUAUAUGCAAUUUUGACUAAUAUACACAUUUUUUCAAAGCAAUUCCCCCUGAUAAAAUGCAUUUUUGUAUGUUAUUUUCACUGAUACAUGUGUAUUUUAUGCACAUUUUAUCCUAGUUAUACGCAGUUCUGUACAGUUUGCUGUGGGCACUGCAUUGCAAAAUUCUGAGAAGUGCGGAUUUUGAAGAUUGGCUGUUUUGGUUAGCAUAUUGUGGGUUGGGAAUCAGCACAUCUGGAUAGGGGCGUGCAGAUGGGAUUGUAUUCCCUUUAAAGGGCCAGGAGGAUAGCUUGGCAGCAGUCCUGGACUUGCAGUUGUCUGGUGAGUCACAGGUAACAGCUGUUGUCAGGAGUGCUUUCUGAAAACACCUGCUAAUUGCAAGCCUAUUUGAAGUGGCCUCGGCCAUCCAUGCACAGGAUUCCUCUCCAAACUACAAUGCAGUUUAUUGGGGUCGGCCUCUGAGGCCAAUAUGGUAAUUGCAGCUGGUAUAAAAUGCAGCUGUUCGUGGAUGCUGGUGGAGGUCGGAAAGCCUGAAAACAUAACACCAAUUUUGUGUCAUCUUCACUGGCCGCCAGUCAACCUCCAGGUCCAAUUGAAAGUGUAGGAAUUAACCUUUCAAAGCCCUAAAUGACUUGGGACCAGGUUAUUUGGAGGGCUGUUUUCACCCAUAUAACCCUGCCUGUACACUAAGAUCAGCUUCAGGGGUUGUUCUCGUGUGUCUGCUGCUAAGAUUGGUUCAGUGGUAUGGAAAAGAAACAAGACCUUCUUAGUGGCAGCUAUAGAAUUGAAACCUCCUUCCUAUAGACUUGAGCCUUACCCUAUCUGUACCAGGCAAAAAUAAUAAUAAUUAGAUUAAAUUCAUCCCAAAGAAACCUAGGGGGACAAGCAAUAAAGCAGCAUAACAUUUUAAAAAAUUAAAACAUUAAAAACAUAUUUUUAAAAACAAUCAUGUAUCCUCACAGUUAAUAGUUUCAAGGUUGUCGGGAACUGAAUCUUUUAGCCAUCAAAUGCCAGAGUGAAGAAGAAUGUCUUUAAAAUCUUAGAAUGUUAACAGGAAGCCAGAUGAACCUCACCAGAGAGGGCAUUCCACAAACAGGAAGCCACCACCAAGAAGGUCCUGUCAGAGAAAGUGCCAAUUGGGGGGACACCAGCACCACCAAGACCUCCCUUGGCAAUCGUGAAGCUUGAGAAAUUUUGAGGAGAUGAUCUCUUUGGUACUAUAGUGUCCCAAGUAGUUCUUGGAAUGAACACCUGAAGCUCACCGGCAGCCAACGCAGCGAUUUCAGGACUGGUGACACGUGGUCCCAUCAGACUGCCCCACUCAGCAAUCUAGCAGCCAUAUUCUGCUCUACUUUUAGGUGAGCGUUGAAAACCUUCCUCUGCAAUGUUCUCUUUAUCUGAGAGUGUCAUGAGGUUGCUUGGGUGUUACAGAGCAGCUUUUUAAUUGUUAUGCAUCCUCUCUAAUGUGGCUAUUAUAGCACGCCUUGCUCCUGCUUGUGUGUCCCUUUGUGAGGGUGUAGCCCUGAAAAGCGACUGCAAACACUUUGCAUAAUAUACCGGUAAUUAAAAUAACACAUACUACUAUUGAGAUACUGGUCAGUCUGCAUCUGAAGUGAGCAGCUUGGUAAAUUUUUGUUUUGGAUUUGGGGAAUAGCUCACAGCAAAAAGGCAUGAUACAAGCACAUCACAAUGCAUGCACUACAACAGCAUAAAAACAGCUAACAGCCAACUAAGGGAGCAAUCUUAUCCCUACAUCUGCCAGUGUGAGCAGGUUAGGAUAUGGAGGAGCUCCAGCUCAGCUAGCAGGCUCCCAACUUGGCCAGGCUAUACUAGCAGAAGUCCCUAGGCCUAGCUCAGCUGGAGAUAAACCAGCAUAAAUGCCUCAUCCCCGGGAGCACACAGCCAAUCAGAUCACACCACUCUGACUGGUUGCUAAGCAAAAGCUCCCCCUCAGGUAGUUGACUAACACAACAAAAUUAACUCUUAAUUUAUAUACUGAAUGAUCUCUGCUGUUGCACUUCCAGCAGCCACGAUAGUGGUCUUCAUAAUAUGUGGAAAGUUCUCACACAGAAGAUGGAUUUGACUGAUGGGUUACUCAAAUGUAGCAUGUCAGCCAAGAGUUUUUAAGUGCGGGUUUGGCAGGAAUAAUAAUAAUAACAACAACAACAACAACAAUAAAACAUUAAAUUUGUACUGCCCUUCAUUCAAAGAUUACAAGGAGGUUCACAACAUAAAAAUACAAAAUAAGAACCCAAAAUACACAAUAAAAACAAGAAGAAAGACUGGGCUUAUCUACACUUACCUUUCCUCCGCUCUUUCCAGGCACAGUCCGCGAUUUAAAGUUCUGUGUCCAAACACUUUUUUUUCUUUUUUCUUUUUGCUCCAGAGCAUACUCAGCGAAAACCUGCUCUCUAAAGCUCAGUUGGAGCAAAUGUCAGUCUAUGGAAACCCAAAUUGAUUCAGCUUUAAAGAGCAGGUUUUUGUGGGGAAAGCUCUGGGUCAGGACAGAUAAUUGCCUCCAUGCCCUGUUUCCUAAUUUAUACAAGUGGGGCUGCAAGAAAACAUUUCAGUGUGGAGCGCUCCUGUUCAGGAUCCCAGCCAGCUACAUCUUUUCCCAAGAUAUUCCACUCCAUUCCCCCAUCCCCUGUAACUGUCAGUCAGCAUUUGGUGGCCACUGAGCAUGCUCUGUUCGCACUGGGCUGUUAGCAGGGUUCCUCUCUUAGGGUUUGAGUUUUCUGUGGGGGUUUUUUUACUAACAACUUUUGUAAACCUUUUGGUUUCCUAGAGGAAUGGUCAAAGCACUGGACUAGGACCUGGAAGACCGGGGUUCAAAUUCUCACUUUGCCAUGAAGCUCACUGGGUGACCUUGGGCCAGUCACUGCCUCUCAGCGUAGCCUACCUGAUAUGGUUGUUGUGGGGAUUAAAUGAGGAGGGGUGAACCAUGCAUGCCACGUUUUGCUCCUUGGAGAAAAAGGUGGGCUAUAGAUGCAGUUAAUAAAUAAAUGAACUUUGGGGUUUUCCUGAGCCUAGUGAUAUUCGACUACAUAAGGACCUAUGUCUGGAGUUUGCUGUUGGUAUGUAUUAUGUUUUGCAUGUUGUUCAUCAACAUAAGCCUAUAGGAUAGGGUGGGAGGGAGUUAAGUUGUAAUUAGACAGCCUUCAUUUGUUUCAAUUUGUAUCCCUUUCUAUCCUAAGGGCUUAGGGAGGGUUGCAGAAUUACAUUGGCACCUGGUACCCUUUUCUUCCCUUGUGGCUCUUCAAAGGAACGAACCAGCUGAACUGGAUGAACAAAAGUAGGCAAUCUUUUGUUCCCCAGGGGUUUUUUGUGUGUGUUUGAAUGUUGCAGGCUUGGUCAAAUGCACCUUUUUAAUACGUCUUUCCCAUAAAACUGACAAUUCUUCUAGUGUGCC